UUGGAGGGCAAGUCUGGUGCCAGCAGCCGCGGUAAUUCCAGCUCCAAUAGCGUAUAUUAAAGUUGUUGCAGUUAAAAAGCUCGUAGUUGAAUUUCGGGGUUAGUAGGUUGGUCGUGCCUCAGGUAUGUACUGAUCUCACUGAUUCCUCCUUCCUGAUGAACCGUAAUGCCAUUAAUUUGGUGUUGCGGGGAAUCUGGACUGUUACUUUGAAAAAAUUAGAGUGUUUAAAGCAGGCUAACGCUUGAAUACAUUAGCAUGGAAUAAUGAAAUAGGACGUUCGAUCCUAUUUUGUUGGUUUCUAGGAUUGACGUAAUGAUUAAUAGGGAUAGUUGGGGGCAUUAGUAUUCAAUUGUCAGAGGUGAAAUUCUUGGAUUUAUUGAAGACUAACUACUGCGAAAGCAUUUGCCAAGGAUGUUUUCAUUAAUCAAGAACGAAAGUUGGGGGAUCGAAGACGAUCAGAUACCGUCGUAGUCUUAACCAUAAACUAUGCCGACUAGGGAUCGGAUGAUGUUAAUUUUUUAAUGACUCAUUCGGCGCCUUACGGGAAAC
rnacentral:rRNA from 1 species